rnacentral:rRNA from 1 species
UUUAAUGAGAGUUUGAUCCUGGCUCAGGACGAACGCUGGCGGCGUGCCUAAUACAUGCAAGUAGAACGCUGAGGUUUGGUGUUUACACUAGACUGAUGAGUUGCGAACGGGUGAGUAACGCGUAGGUAACCUGCCUCAUAGCGGGGGAUAACUAUUGGAAACGAUAGCUAAUACCGCAUAAGAGUAAUUAACACAUGUUAGUUAUUUAAAAGGAGCAAUUGCUUCACU